rnacentral:rRNA from 1 species
UUGGUACUACAUGUACAGGAUAGGUGGGAGGCUUUGAAACCAGGACGCCAGUUUUGGCGGAGCCAUCCUUGGGAUACCCCCCUUGUAGUACUGGGACUCUAACCAUAGGCCAUGAAUCUGGUCUUGGGACACUGUCAGGUGGGCAGUUUGACUGGGGCGGUCGCCUCCCAAAAGGUAACGGAGGCGCUCAAAGGUUCUCUCAGUACGGU